UACGAAGGGUGCAAGCGUUGUUCGGAUUUACUGGGCGUAAAGCGUCCGUAGGUGGUUUGUUAAGUCAGGGGUGAAAUCCCGGGGCCCAACCCCGGAACUGCCUUUGAUACUGGCAAGCUGGAGCGUGAUAGAGGAAGAUGGAAUAUCUGGUGUAGGGGUGAAAUGCAUAGAUAUCACGCAGAACUCCGAUUGCGAAGGCAGCAUACCGGCGCCCAACUGACGCUGAGGCACGAAAGCGUGGGUAUCGAACAGG
rnacentral:rRNA from 1 species